UAUGGACCACUUGUCAUUCCCAGCAUAGAGGAUGGUGCUGCGGUUUAGCCAGGCCACUCGGGUGACUCGAUCAUCUAUGGUACACCUAUCACGAAACUGAGAUGCAGAGAGCUUCAAUACUCUGAACAGUUGGUACAACCAGAGUAGAGGAUUUACACCUAUCCAGCAUGGUGAAGAAUUCCUGCACUUAAGGGCUGUUGGCUUCGCCUCAAAAAGAAAGUGCUUGUGGCUCAAGAAUCAAAGUAAUAAGGCCAGGAGGAGAUGUUUGGCAUUAUCCAGUUUCUCACGAAUUUAUGGCUAAUGAGAAAAUACAAAGGUGGUUCAGCAGUACACUUCUGCCAAGGAAAGCUGAAUGAAUGCCAGGGUCCACUAUAGUAGCGAAGGUUCUCAAAAGUUGGAAUGAAGCCAUGUGGAGAGAGAACUCUGUUGUCAUAUGCCACAUAGUAAAGUUAAAAGUGAUGCUGUGGCAGCAUCCAAGACCAU